rnacentral:rRNA from 1 species
GACGAACGCUGGCGGCGUGCUUAACACAUGCAAGUCGAACGGAAAGGCCCUGCUUUUGUGGGGUGCUCGAGUGGCGAACGGGUGAGUAACACGUGAGUAACCUGCCCUUGACUUUGGGAUAACUUCAGGAAACUGGGGCUAAUACCGGAUAGGAGCUCCUGCUGCAUGGUGGGGGUUGGAAAGUUUCGGCGGUUGGGGAUGGACUCGCGGCUUAUCAGCUUGUUGGUGGGGUAGUGGCUUACCAAGGCUUUGACGGGUAGCCGGCCUGAGAGGGUGACCGGCCACAUUGGGACUGAGCUACGGCCCAGACUCCUACGGGAGGCAGCAGUGGGGAAUAUUGCACAAUGGGCGGAAGCCUGAUGCAGCAACGCCGCGUGCGGGAUGACGGCCUUCGGGUUGUAAACCGCUUUCGCCUGUGACGAAGCGUGAGUGACGGUAAUGGGUAAAGAAGCACCGGCUAACUACGU